GUCUCUUUGGAGACAUUCGAUAAUAUUGGAACCAUGCGAACAAGACUAGCGUGGACCCUGUACAAGGAUGACAAGUACAAAUGACAAGUGGUCCAGAUUUUU
rfam:Punica granatum cultivar Dabenzi scaffold90, whole genome shotgun sequence.